UCUUGCUGAAUCCAAAAUGAAGGUUCAAUACAUUGAAAAUUGUGGUUGUCAAUAAUGUCUUUUUGAAAUCUUGAAAGUGGUUACAUUGAAUAAGGAAUUGUUUUGUUACAAAAAUCUCAUGUCAUAAUAUUUUUGGAUUAUGACAUAUCCAAAAAAACAUUUUUUUAUUUUUAUAAAGGGCACUAGAGGAACAAUGGUUAUUAACACCCAAGUUUGGAUUGUUUUAUUUGUUUUUUUUUUUUUUUUUUUUUGUAUUUUUGAGGUUUAGAAUAAUUUUUGUAUAGAUUGGUAAAUUCUCAACUUUCAAAGUUAAAGCUGUAUGCAAGGAUAGGUUGGGGUGGCAAUUGAAAUUACUAAAAAGUAAAGUUAUAACAGUUGGUACAUGGGCAGGUAGGACUACUUGGUGUUAAAAAAAUUAUGUAACAUUUGCUUGAACUAAUUAUUAAUUAAUUAAGCCAGGAAUUGACUUAUGUUUUACUUCACACAUGUGUGUGCAUCAAAUUAUAUGCAUUAUACCACUGCUAAUUCAAUUGUGUCUUUGUGCUUUAACAACUAUAUCAAUUGUUAAUUAUUAUUACAUUGGUUAUUAUCAUACCAAUUUUUACUAUGAGCCUGUAUGAUUGACUCAAUAGGACUGCAUCAAAUGCAAGAAUCCCUCAAUCUUAUUGUGUGAGUUUAAUAGUUAGUAAUGCACAUAAGAUGGAAUAGUUUUGAAUAUACAUAAGAAAGCAUAAGGCCACAUCACUCUCUGAUGACUAACUUUCUUAGACAUCAAUGAAAGGAAAAUAACUGCUUUGAAUGCUCUGAUACUUUGAAAGUGCACAAAGAAGCUUUGCAGGGGUAGCUAGGAGUAAUCAACAAGGAUUGCACAGACUGUUUGGAAGCUUAAAAAAUCCACCAUGUAAACAGCAAACUCAGUUCAAUUUAAAUGCAUUAUAUAUACAGACACACAAGUACAUACAUAUAUAUAAACAAAAAAACAUAGAUACAACCUCUGUGGAAAAGCUGGCUGGCCAGCAGGUAAUAGUUAUUUGCAUAUAUAUAUAUAUAUAUAUAUAUAAGUGUGUGUGUGUGUGUUGUAAUGAACUACAUGAGGACGCAAGGAAGCUUUGCCAUGCAUGCACUGUCAGACUGAAGUAGCAGGAAAGGGGAGGAGGUGGGAGGAGGAGGGAGUAGAGUAGGGUUGGAGGAGCAUUGGAAGGGGGGCUAUGGAGAGGUGUGCCCAAAGAUGGAUGGUAGGUAACCCAGCACCCAAAUAGCUCUCUUACAGCCCUGCAGAUGCACAGAGACUGCGAAGAUCAGUAGAUUGGAGGUGGGAAAAGUGGGCCUAGGGAUUACAGAAGAAGGGGGAGAGGGAUGAGGGAAGAGGAGGAGGAGGGGGAUCCUGUGGUGGCCAGGAGAGGUGAUGACCGGCUCUGAUGCCUAUGUGGGGUCAACCAUGCCAUCCUCAUGAGUCUGAAGAGAGAAACAGACAGACAGACACUCAGAGAGCACACCCUUCAGAGAUGAAAAGAGAACUGGAGGCAGGCCAUGCAUGCAAAUCAGAUCCUUUACCUCGGUUUUCACCACUUCUCCCCUACUACCACUACUACCACACACACACACACAGUCAUACUGUUUGUUCUAGUAGUAAUGCAGGAACUGAAACUAAACAUAUCAAUAUGCCAUCUCUGAGUAGUCACUUCUGACACCACACACCCAGCAGUAAUAGUCUCCCACUCCCACUUCCUCUCUCCUUCUCUCCCACUCAGGGAGGACCCUUCUAACCUCCCUCCUCCCUUGUGAGUAGGGUUCAAUCAUCCAACCAUGCCAACAAUGGUGGCUAUGAUGAGAAGACAGGGUCAAAGAUGGGAAUUCAUUCACUCACUCACCCACUCACACACACACAUGGCAUCGGGCUGAUGGUAGCCUCCGAUUAGGACAUGCUGAAAUAACCUCUUGGCAGCACACAAAAUAAAAACAAAAAUUGCAUAUGUUGAUGAUGAUGAUGAUCCUAACCACUUCUGAAACUGACAUUGUCAAAACUGAUUGGAGCAUUUCUUUUCUUUUAUUUUCUUUUCUUUUGACCUUACUUUCUCCAUUCCUUCUGUUGAUGCUGAUUCCAAGGUGACGGCCACUGUGCUCAUUGAAAUAAAAUCCACUUUCUGCAGUCAGAGAACAGGACAGAGAGAGGAGAUGGAGGUUAUGCCAACAGCAGCAGGGAUAAAGCAGAUAAUACAUACAAAAAAGAAAAGAAAAAGAGCAAAAAAACAGAAAAAAAUUCAUCAAUUAAAAGUAAGUUUUAGUGUUGUGUGUUCAUAUGUGUGAAUGAGAGCUUUCCUCUGUCUCCUCAAAACCCCCUUUUUUUUUAACUGAAAAUUAAGUAAAACCAAGGUGAGUGCAACAAAGAUGGAAGACUCAAGCAUGGUUGUGGCAAUUCAAUGCAUUUGAGAACUAAGGUUUGUACUGCUGCUUUGUUGAGAACCAUAUCAUGGUAAAUUUUUUCCAUGCAAGAGGCUUUCUUUUAUGUUUAUAUUUACCAAAAUUAUUGUCUUGUUGUAAAUGUUCACAAAUGACAUUGACUCACACAGAAUACACAGAAAUCACAUGCAAGAACUUAGAGUAAAAUUCACAUUUCAAACUCACAUUCAAAGAAACUUCUGUUUCUCCUACAAUUUCUAGAAAAUUGCCAUCUUUCCACCAGUAUCCAGUUAUCAGCAAGUUUUGAGAGAAGAAAUUAAGAGGAAUGAAAUAAAAUGGAGGGUACAGGAAUUGUGGGGGAAACCAUGGAGGGUCAAUCGCAGCAACUUAUGUGAGGAAAGAGACUGUGGAUCAUGCGAAGGUGAAGGGAGCGUACUCACAGCACAGUCCAGUUAGUUUGUGGGAGGCACCCUCUGCAGUCCAGCAGCAAUAUACCAUUACUACUACUACUACCCUACAACGAAUGCCAGAGGGUACACUAGUUAGUUAGUUCGUUAGUUUUUUAUAUAAUUUUAUUUAUGUCAUUCUG
rnacentral:lncRNA from 1 species